GACCUCCUCGCUGUGGGACAGGCCAAUGCCUCAGCCUCCUGAGCCUCAGUUGUUUCUUCUGUAAAAUGGGAAUAACAACAUUCACACCAAUUCUUCUUCCUUCAAGAGAUGAUGCUGGAGAUCAAAUGAGGCAAAAGGUGGAUAAGUCAAUUAUAAAGCACUUUCAAAUACAAGCUCACGGUGUGGCACACUUGGAAACAGUAAUCUUCCUGCUAUCUCCCCUGUAUGGCCUGCACCCCAUCAGGAAGACCCUUUGCCAGGCAGCUGUGCGAGGUUUACGAGUGCAGUGAGUGCAGGAGCGGUCGCUGGGGUGGCAGAAGAAACUUUGGGCCCGCUCACCACUCGUCGGCUGGAGGGGUCCUUCCAGAGCCCGAAGAUUCCCUCCCCAGAUUUUCCUUAUGAGGCAAGCGGGCAAGCUGGCACUGGCACUGGCUGGGCAGCCCCAGGAGAUGGGGCUGGAGAGGCUCCAUCACUACUAUGGGUUCAGACCUCACCCUGAAACCCAUUAAACCCAUGUCUUGUAAGCCCUACAGGUGGUGUCAAGAGGAAUUUUCAGGGCACUGACAGGCUUCUCCAAAGGGAGAGGCUCUAGCUGGGUCUGUGCACUACUCUGCAGGAAGAAGCAGUGUUUAGGGGCAGCAGGAUCUGGGGCAUCAGGAGAACCACCGCCUCUGGUCCUCACGUGCUGUCCACCUUGGGCGAUCCCCUCCCUUCACUGGGCACAGCUGGCAGGAGAAAUUUCUAGAAGUGGACUUUCUGGAUGCAAAAGGCUUUUGCGACGAAGUUGACAAGUUGCCUUCAGAAAGCUUAUUCUCCCACCUCUGCUUUUAAAUACAUAUUUCUUCUUCACAUCUCCCCUUCUUCAACGAACAUUAUACAACAGGCAUUUCUUAAGUUCUUAACCUCACUGGCAACAUUAUUUUAAUAGUAGUAUUCUGUCAGCCACCAACCCUCCUUGGAGCCUUCACAGUUCCUUCUGUUUCCUGGGAUAACCCCCAAAUUCCCAACUUCCAGACCAAGUAGCUUCAUUUGACAUUGGGGAGCCUCCCCUGGGGGUUCCAGCUUCUAAAGUCAAAAUAAAAUGGUUAACUCAGCCCAAUCCUGUUCACUCCGUGCAGCGGGAAGGUCGCCAGGAGGCACCAUGAAAUGGAAAUCAUUCUAAGUUUUCUGCCGUGUAUUUUUUCUACACGGUGGAGAAGAUCCAUUUGUGUUUUAAACAAAAACGCCCCCUUCUUGUCAUCUUCUCUCAGUCAAAAAGGUAUCAUCUUUUCCCCGAACAGGUAUUUGCUUGGCAAGAAACUCCUCAUUCAGAAACCCUUCCAGCAAGGGGAUAAAUUUUUCUAAGGCAGCGAGUGACUACACACACAUCUGCAUUGACAAGUCACAACUUAUAGCCUUCUAUGGUGUUUCUGCGCUUUUGAAAAUGUUAAUAAAAACUUAAUGUGGAAAAAAACCAACUUUUUCCAAAUAUGUGUACCAAUAAGCCCAAGGCAACUCAUACUUUCUUAUAAAAUAAAGUAGGUCACUCAC
rnacentral:lncRNA from 1 species